ensembl:lncRNA
UAGCAUGAUAAAAUUACAUUUAUUUUGAAUGAAUUAUAACAAAUAGUUAUUAGAGAGAGACCGAGAGAGCGAGAGAGAAAGAUGGUGCGUGUGUGAAUUACCUGCAUCUCUACUAAUAAUGGUGCUGUGAACACCAUUACGAAAAUAACUGAAUUCUCCCCAUUAAAUAGCUGUCUCUCUCUGUAUGCAAGUGUACAGUAACUGUAUGUUACUAUGGUCACAGUUGUUUAUAGGCUACGCAUUCAUUUAGAACGGUGAUUAAACUGAAUGGUACCACCGGUUCAUUAUACGGGUUGAACGCACACUUUCCAGCCAAUCAGACUCGAGUAUUCAGACAGACCAUGAUAUAAAUGCUCUUAUAUUAGCUACUGGUAUUUCAUCACAAUUUUGGGUGACUUUCAUGCUUUGUCCUUCAAUACCUUGCUAGAUCAACUAGGCAGAGACUGUGUGAACUUAACCUGAAUACGUUUAUCAUGCGGCUGUUUUGCUUGCAUGUACAGUACAUAAUUCAAAAACUGCAGAUAAGACAAAGAUAUGUAUCAUGUUUUCUUUGUAUUUUUAAGAACAGAGAGCGGUAAAUCAAAGUCAGAGAUGUCACCUUUUUUUUUUGGUGAAAUUUUGCUCGGGCUACAUACAAACAUUUCGAAAAAUGACAAGUGUUUUAGUUCACCGAAACUGAUAGUAAUUUCUAAUCGGUUCUGAGGAUAAUAGAAUACGUAAGGUUACGUGUUGAGAAUACCAAGAAGGCAACUGUUCUCCAUUACUCAUAUGCAAAUGAAAAGCAUUACAAUUGUGGGGAAAGACACUUCAAAUGAUUAAAUUACUUAAGUGAUUUAAAGCAAUUAAGAAAAACAUUACAAAAUUGUCAACAAUAUGGCCUCCAGUACCACCAGUCUUUUUAAUUGAAUUACUUCAGCUGCAGAUGACAAUCGUAAAGAGGCGCAGAAUAAUCUGUAGCAGAAUGUAGUAGAAAAGUCAAUUUUCACAGCCUUGUUCUGAGCUAAAAGUAUCUAAUACCCAGGGUUUUUGUUGAGGCGCAAAGUAGUGGAGUGUAAAAAUCAAGGUCUAGGAUUUUCUGAUUGUUCACCUGCAGGCACUCGGUCACGUCUCACUGCUACACAUUCCAGGACAUACAGUAGCAGCUGAGGAAAAACAGACACCUAAGAUGCCAUCCAUGGAAAAUCCAUGACACUAUUUUUACAUGAAAAAUCAAUGCGUUAUUAAUCUAUUCAGAGAGUCUUUUUUUAAUACGUUACAUUUUCAUUACCCUUUCUCCUGUUUAAUAAUAUGUUUACUUACAGAUAUGCUGUUGUCAGAGAUAUAUGACUCAAAAGAUAUUUAUUUAAUGAUUGAGGUGAUAAAAUAGGGUGGAGUCAAAUCGGGUAUGUUAUAAUGGCUGCUUAGUAGAGAUUCCAUAAUUCAUGAUGCCUCCUAUUGUUUUUAGUUCAGGACGGCAGCCGCCAGGAGACAAACUGUUCUUGACUCAGAAGCAGCAGAAAUCUCUGUGAAAAUAAAAGAAAAUGAUGCCCUUUACAACAGGCAGACAGGAUGACAGACUUCAGAAUUGAAAAUGAAGAUUAAAGAAAAUGACUCCUGAAGAAAGAGCAAGAGUUCAUUUAGG